GUCUAUGGCCAUGCCACCCUGAAUAAUAAGCCCGAUCCUGUCUGAUCUCGGAAGCUAAGUAGGGUCAGGCCUGGUUAGUACUUGGAUGGUAGACCACCUAGGAAGAUCAGGUGCUGUAGGCG
rnacentral:rRNA from 1 species